rnacentral:misc_RNA from 1 species
UGUAUUCUCAAAUUCUCACCAUUCUGGGCUUAUCAUUGGUGUAAGGUUCAUCGCAGUGCCUCGGCCUCCGAUCAAGAGUAAUAUAGAGAUGAAGAUGGACAAGCAGCAGCAGCAGCCAAGGGAGGAGCAGAUCCAAUUGUUGUCAAACGCAAGGUUAGAUGGCGGUGGAAAAAAAGAGGAGAAAGAAGAAAGCAGGAGAAAGUUCUGGUGGAAGAAGGUGUUAGAUGUGGAGGAGGCCAAGAAACAAAUCUU